AUAACCACCUACAACUGAAGACAUUCAUUUUCAUUAAGAAACUAAAAUGGCUUUCAGGAGAGAUCGAAAUAUUAGAGAUAUUUACGAGGAACGGUUUCCUCCUGAAAGAGGGGGUCCAUAUCCAAGAGGAGCUCGAGGGGACAGGAGACCUCCCUUUGGGCGGCCAGACGAGGAUUAUGGCCGUGGUUUUGAAUACGAUGGACCUCGGUUUAAUCCAAACAGUGCUCCUCGCAACUACCAUGGAGAGGAUCAGAGAGGAUAUCAUGGAGACAGCCAUCACUCAUUUCCAAAUGAGCACA